UACGUAGGGUGCAAGCGUUAAUCGGAAUACUGGGCGUAAAGCGUGCGCAGGUGGUGAUGUAAGACAGGUGUGAAAGCCCCGAGCUUAACUUGGGAAUUGCGCUUGUGACUGGCGUGCUGGAGUGUGGCAGAGGGAGGUGGAAUUCCACGUGUAGCAGUGAAAUGCGUAGAGAUGUGGAGGAACACCGAUGGCGAAGGCAGCCUCCUGGGCCAGCACUGACGCUCAGGAGCGAAAGCCAGGGGAGCAAACGGG
rnacentral:rRNA from 1 species